rnacentral:rRNA from 1 species
CAGCAGCCGCGGUAAUACGAAGGGUGCAAGCGUUAAUCGGAAUUACUGGGCGUAAAGCGUGCGUAGGCGGUGAGUUAAGUCUGCUGUGAAAUCCCCGGGCUCAACCUGGGAAUGGCAGUGGAUACUGGCUCGCUAGAGUGUGUCAGAGGAUGGUGGAAUUCCCGGUGUAGCGGUAAAAUGCGUAGAGAUCGGAAGGAACAUCUGUGGCGAAGGCGACUAUCUGGGCCAACACUGACACUGAGGCACGAAAGCGUGGGGAGCAAGCAGGAUUAGAUACCCGUGUAGUCCCUGUCUCUUAUAU